GAUGAACGCUGGCGGCGUGCUUAAUACAUGCAAGUCGAACGGAAAGGCGAGGCGCUUGCUGGGCGCACGUGAGCGGAGCGGGGGUGAAUCACGCGUGUAUAACCUCCCUGUAAGAGGGAUAUCACUACGAGACUGGGGCGAAAAUCGGAGAGAAUCUCUUGAAGCGCAGGGGUGGAUGGAGAGAGUCGGCGGUGGGGGAUGGACUCGCGGGUUAUCAGCUUGUUGGUGGGGUAGUGGCUGACAAAGGUUUUGACGGGUAGGCGGCCUGAGAGGGUGACCGGGCACAUUGGGACUGAGGUACGGCCCAGACUCCUACGGGAGGCAGCAGUGGGGAAUAUUACGCAAUGGGCGGAAGCCUGAUGUAGCAACGCCGCGAGCGGGAAGACCGCCUUCGGGGUGUAAACCGCUUUGGACGGUGACGAAGCGUUAGUGACGGUAAUGAGUAAAGAAGCACCGGCUAACUACGUG
rnacentral:rRNA from 1 species